GGGCGCUGUGUGGUGGCUGAGCAGCAGGGGAGUCAGGCCCUCCCAGAGACCGAUCGAGCCUUCCUAGAGCUCGUGGAAGGCUCAGGACCCCACGGGUCUUGCCAGGUCAGGAGCUCUAGUGUGGCUCAGGUGGGCCCACACCCUCAGGCCGAGGUGGGCACAGGUGCGGCCGGGAAGCUGCCGGGGCCUUGUGGAGAGCGUCGGACACAGGCAGAGCCACUCCUGCACCCACACAACGUACUGUUUUUGACCACACACCUGGGGCAGGGGCCUAGACCCGUCCAGGACUCACCGGGGGCUGCCCCACCGCGUCUCCAGAACCUCCCCAAGAGCCAAGCCCAGAUCCCACCUCCUGUCAACCCAGGUGUACCACGCCCAUGAGGCAAUCACCUCCCAGAGGCGGCUUGUGAGUGCGUGAGGCUGUGCGGACAGAGCAGGCGGGGCGUGCAGUGACACCGAGCGGCCACCGGAGGGCAGCAGAGCCCUGUGCUGAGAUCACGCGCUGAGGUUGCCAGGGGCCCCAGCUCUGCC
rnacentral:lncRNA from 1 species